GACCAUCAACAAGAUUGAUGUGAUGGUUUUCGUUCCAUAUGACCAUCAAUCUGUGGAAAUGGCUUUUUGUUGUCCUGCUCAGAUUGGAGCGAAGAUUUGGCCAAUAGAAUUAUGCAUAUAGCUAUAUAAGCACUAACUUGCAUCACUUGAAUAUUUGUGAUCGAUAUGAACUUUACUAUAAUAUGAAGUUGCUGAAUAUCUUGUAUCAGUGUUAUUAUUAAUAUUCUAUUAUAUGUUAUUUGGUUGAGUUUAACCCUUUCUGUUUGUAUUUUUGUGUUUGCAGCGCCUAACGCUUUAGAUGAACAACAUACAUGAAGGAACAUUGCUUGAUGGAUGCAAGAUGGAGCGCAAAGAUGUUUGAAGUAUAUGCUAUUAUGUUUUGUUUAAUAUUUUUAAUAAACAAGUUAUGUUUCUAAUUUUCUAUAAAUUUAUGUAUGUUGAACAAUUUCAAUGUUUACGAAUAAAAUUUUAUC
rnacentral:lncRNA from 1 species